rnacentral:rRNA from 1 species
CUCAGGAUGAACGCUGGCGGCGUGCCUAAUACAUGCAAGUCGAACGCUUUGUGGUUCAACUGAUUUGAAGAGCUUGCUCAGAUAUGACGAUGGACAUUGCAAAGAGUGGCGAACGGGUGAGUAACACGUGGGAAACCUACCUCUUAGCAGGGGAUAACAUUUGGAAACAGAUGCUAAUACCGUAUAACAAUGACAACCGCAUGGUUGUUAUUUAAAAGAUGGUUCUGCUAUCACUAAGAGAUGGUCCCGCGGUGCAUUAGCUAGUUGGUAAGGUAAUGGCUUACCAAGGCGAUGAUGCAUAGCCGAGUUGAGAGACUGAUCGGCCACAAUGGGACUGAGACACGGCCCAUACUCCUACGGGAGGCAGCAGUAGGGAAUCUUCCACAAUGGGCGAAAGCCUGAUGGAGCAACGCCGCGUGUGUGAUGAAGGGUUUCGGCUCGUAAAACACUGUUGUAAGAGAAGAAUGACAUUGAGAGUAACUGUUCAAUGUGUGACGGUAUCUUACCAGAAAGGAACGGCUAAAUACGUGCCAGCAGCCGCGGUAAUACGUAUGUUCCAAGCGUUAUCCGGAUUUAUUGGGCGUAAAGCGAGCGCAGACGGUUAUUUAAGUCUGAAGUGAAAGCCCUCAGCUCAACUGAGGAAUUGCUUUGGAAACUGGAUGACUUGAGUGCAGUAGAGGAAAGUGGAACUCCAUGUGUAGCGGUGAAAUGCGUAGAUAUAUGGAAGAACACCAGUGGCGAAGGCGGCUUUCUGGACUGUAACUGACGUUGAGGCUCGAAAGUGUGGGUAGCAAACAGGAUUAGAUACCCUGGUAGUCCACACCGUAAACGAUGAGUGCUAGGUGUUUGAGGGUUUCCGCCCUUAAGUGCCGCAGCUAACGCAUUAAGCACUCCGCCUGGGGAGUACGACCGCAAGGUUGAAACUCAAAGGAAUUGACGGGGACCCGCACAAGCGGUGGAGCAUGUGGUUUAAUUCGAAGCAACGCGAAGAACCUUACCAGGUCUUGACAUCCCUUGACAACUCCAGAGAUGGAGCGUUCCCUUCGGGGACAAGGUGACAGGUGGUGCAUGGUUGUCGUCAGCUCGUGUCGUGAGAUGUUGGGUUAAGUCCCGCAACGAGCGCAACCCUUAUUACUAGUUGCCAGCAUUCAGUUGGGCACUCUAGUGAGACUGCCGGUGACAAACCGGAGGAAGGUGGGGAUGACGUCAAAUCAUCAUGCCCCUUAUGACCUGGGCUACACACGUGCUACAAUGGCGUAUACAACGAGUUGCCAACCCGCGAGGGUGAGCUAAUCUCUUAAAGUACGUCUCAGUUCGGAUUGUAGGCUGCAACUCGCCUACAUGAAGUCGGAAUCGCUAGUAAUCGCGGAUCAGCACGCCGC